UACAGAGGGUGCAAACGUUGCUCGGAAUCAUUGGGCGUAAAGCGCACGUAGGCGGCCUAGCAAGUAGGGAGUGAAAGCCCUCGGCUUAACCGAGGAAGUGCUUUCUAAACUACUAGGCUUGAAUACUGGAGAGGGUCGCGGAAUUCCCGGUGUAGAGGUGAAAUUCGUAGAUAUCGGGAGGAACACCAGUGGCGAAGGCGGCGACCUGGGCCAAUACCUGACGCUGAGGUGCGAAAGCGUGGGAGCAAACAGG
rnacentral:rRNA from 1 species